rnacentral:rRNA from 1 species
GACGAACGCUGGCGGUGUGCUUAACACAUGCAAGUGGAGCGACGAACCAGGGCUUGCCCUGGGGCAGAGCCGCGAACGGGUGAGUAACACGUGGGUAACCUACCCCGAUGACCGGGACAACCCGAGGAAACUCGAGCUAAUACCGGAUGUGCUUUUCCCUCAUGAGAGGGAAGAGUAAAGGAAGCUUUGGCCUCCGCAUUGGGAGGGGCCCGUGGCCCAUUAGCUAGUUGGUGGGGUAAUGGCCUACCAAGGCUGCGAUGGGUAGCUGGUUUGAGAGGACGAUCAGCCCCACUGGGACUGAGACACGGCCCAGACUCCUACGGGAGGCAGCAGUGGGGAAUUUUGCGCAAUGCGCGAAAGCGUGACGCAGCAACACCGCGUGGGGGAAGACGGCCUUCGGGUUGUAAACCCCUUUCAGGAGGGACGAAGGCCGGCCGGUGAAUAGCCGUGUCGGUUGACGGUACCUCCAGAAGAAGCCCCGGCUAACUACGUG